UAGGUGGAAUCCGAAAAACCUUCAACAGAGUAGGAA
ncrna:unclassified sequences DTF805b RNA